GAUAGCCAAAGAUGAUGCGCGGAUCCAACGUCGGGUUGGUGACUAAGCGAACAUCGCCACCGCCGGGUGCCCAGGGAUCAUAUAGGCCACCCCAGUACAUUGCUUUGGCCGCAAAGAGCAGGGCAAAGAUGCCUAAAAUCGCAAUAUGAAAGCCUAGAAUCUGUGCGACUUUGGCUCUAUCUGUCCA
rnacentral:antisense_RNA from 1 species